CGCGCAGGCUGUAGAUCAAGUCAGCUGUGAAAUGUCUGGGCUUAACCCCGGGCAUGCGGUUGAAACUGAUGUACUGGAGUGCUGUAGAGGCAAGUGGAAUUCCCAGUGUAGCGGUGAAAUGCGUAGAUAUUGGGAAGAACACCGGUGGCGAAGGCGACUUGCUGGGCAGCAACUGACGCUGAGGCGCGAAAGCCAGGGGAGCAAACG
rnacentral:rRNA from 1 species